GGGGGGGGGGGGGGGGGGGGGGGGGGGGGGGGGGGGGGGGGGGGGGGGGGGGGGGGGGCCGCGUCCCCCCUCCGUGUGCGCGUCCCCCCUCCGUGUGCCCAGCGCGUCCCCCCGGAGCGGCGGAGCGGCGCGGGCGCUCACCGUGCGUGCGCACAAAAUGGCGCCCCGGCUCCAAAGGAAGGGGGCGGCGCCGCGCCCGCCCUUAACUGCGGGGCCUCGGCGGGGCUGCCCGCGGCGCGCCUGACGGGAAGGGAGCGCCUGAGGGGCCGCGACCCCCGGGAUGCCGGUCCCGAAAAGCUGCAGCGGCACCGGUCGGACCCUUCGGCCAAAGCAGGGACAAACGCCCGGGGUUUCACGGCUGUGCGUGUGCUGUCAUGGCAACGGGCAGAGAGUGAUGCACGGGGAGUUCCCGCUGGGCAUGAGGAAGAACUUGUUUCCUGUGCAGUGACCGUGCAAUGCAACAGAUUGCCCAGAGAGGCUGUGGAGCCUCCCUCAGGGAGCUGUUCGAGAAGGGUCUGGACGCAGUCCUGUGCCAUGUGCUCUGGGAUGGCCCGCAUGACCCCGCGUGGUCCGUUCCACUCUGAGCCGUUCCGUGAUCCUCUGAGAUGGGGGCGGGAGAGGUUUGGCAGCGGGGAUGUCGGGGAACAGGGGAGACGAGCGAGGUGCGUGUCGGGGAUGGCGAGGGGCGAGCCCUGCGGUGAGCGGCUGGCCCCCAUCCAUAAGGAGCCAAGUUUGGAAACGCAGAGCGUGAGCAGCCAGCAGGGUGUUCUACACAUGAAAGUCAUACACCAGCAUUUAAAUUGGCGGCAGUGUGAGCCUGCUGGCGCUGCUGUGUGUCAGUCACGGCUGCCCGGCCGGAGAUCCCGGAUUCCCGGGCAGGGAAGCGGGGUGGGAGAAGCAUGCCAACAACCAGAGGCGAAUAGGCUGCUCGAGUUCGGGGUUUCUUGGUAUUGUAAUGAGGUUUCUUCGUAUUAUGAUGCCAUAAUCUCCGAUUGGUGUGGCAGAGGUUUCCACCAGACGCAUAAGGCCCGGAUUCUCCACCGAGAGCCCUGA
rnacentral:lncRNA from 1 species